rnacentral:rRNA from 1 species
AUUGAACGCUGGCGGCAGGCCUAACACAUGCAAGUCGAACGAGUGGCGGACGGGUGAGUAAUGUCUGGGAAACUGGCUGAUGGAGGGGGAUAACUACUGGAAAAGGUAGGUAAUACCGCAUACCAUCGGAUGUGCCCAGAGGGGAUUAGGGAGUGGGUGGGGUAAAGGCUCACCUAGGCGACAAUCCCUAGCUGGUCUGAGAGGAUGACCGGCCACACGGGAACUGAGAAACGGUCCAACCUCCUACGGGAGGCACCGGUGGGGAAUAUUGGCCAAUGGGCGCAAGCCUGAGGCAGCCAUGCCGCGUGUAUGAAGAAGGCCUUCGGGUUGUAAAGUACGUUCAGCGGGGAGGCGUUACCCGCAGAAGAAGCACCGGCUAACUCCGUGCCAGCCGCCGCGGUAAUUC